rnacentral:rRNA from 1 species
UACGUAAGUGGCGAGCGUUAUCCGGAAUUACUGGGCGUAAAGAGCUCGUAGGUGGUUUGUCGCGUUGUUCGUGAAAACCUGAGGCUUAACCUUGGGCGUGCGGGCGAUACGGGCAGACUGGAGUACUGCAGGGGAGACUGGAAUUCCUGGUGUAGCGGUGGAAUGCGCAGAUAUCAGGAGGAACACCGGUGGCGAAGGCGGGUCUCUGGGCAGUAACUGACGCUGAGGAGCGAAAGCGUGGGGAGCGAACAGG